rnacentral:piRNA from 1 species
UUCCUGUGCUGUUUUCACUCUGCC